UCGGGGGUAGAUCUAUCUCAUGACGAGUGGUGGAAUACUUUGACUCAUGAGAGAGAAGCUGAGGCGAAGGCGUCUACCUAGAGGGUUUCUGUCGAUCAAGGGCGAGAGUAGGAGUAUCCAACAGGAUUAGAGACCCUGGUAGUUCCUACCUUAAACGAUGCCGACAGGAGUUUGUCAUUUGUUAAUGGCAGAAUCUUUGGAGAAAUCAUAGUUCUUGGGCUCUGGGGGAACUACGACCGCAAGGCUGAAACUUGAAGGAAUUGACGGAAGGGCACACCAGGGGUGGAGCCUGUGGCUUAAUUUGAAUCAACACGGGGAAACUUACCAGGACCAGAUGUUUUUUAUGACUGACAGGCUUCGGGUCUUUCAGGAUAUUGUUUUUGGUGGUGCAUGGCCGUUGGUGGUGCGUGGGUUGACCUGUCUAGCGUUGAUUCAGCUAACGAGCGAGAUUAUCGCCAAUUAUUUACUUUGCCGAAGUCCUUCGGUUAAAGUUCUAAUUGGGACUCCCUGCGAUUUUAGCAGGUGGAAGAGGGUAGCAAUAACAGGUCCGUGAUGCCCUUUAGAUGCUCUGGGCUGCACGCGUGCUACAAUGUUAGGAUCAAUAGGACUGCGAGCCUGAGAGGGUGCGCUACUCUUAUAAUCCCUAACGUAGUUGGGAUUGACGUUUGUAAUCAGCGUCAUGAACCAGGAAUCCCUUGUAAAUGUGUGUCAACAACGCACGUUGAAUACGUCCCUGCCCUUUGUACACACCGCCCGUCGCUCCUACCGAUUGGAUGACUCGGUGAAAUCACCGGAUGCUUACGAGCAGAAAGUGAUUAAAUCACGUUAUCUAGAGGAAGGAGAAGUCGUAACAAGGUAACGGUAGGUGAACCUGCCGUUGGAUCAGUU
rnacentral:ncRNA from 1 species